GCAGACACAUUCCAGCCAAUCAGCAGCAGACCCUCCCUCCCAGACUCUCCCACCUCCUGGACAGCUCACUAAGAAUGUAGCUUCACAAUGAAUGGAAAAUGGAUGCUGUCCAGGAGGUGGGAGGGUCUGGGAGGGAGGGUCUGCUGCUGAUUGGCUGGAAUGUGUCUG
rnacentral:miRNA from 1 species